GGUGGUGUCGGUGGUGUCGGUGCUGCAUUUGUAUUCGUAUUAAUUAUAGCCCUGGCAACUCACAAAAGUAUCUCAUUUUCCAAAUUACAUACGCUGCUAAACAAAAAGCGAGCCCAGCAAUGCGAUCCAACUCCAUUCCCAUUCCCAUUUCCAUCCCCCAGUGACGGAUCCGAUGCCGAUGCCGAUGCUGAUGCCAAUUCCAAUUCCAUUUUCAUUUCCAAUUCAACUUCAACUGCCAUUUAAGUUAAAUAUUUUGUCUGUUUGCUGUUGCUGCAUUUAAAUUGGCGCAUUAGUUGGCUAAAUGCAUUUCCCUGAAGCCGCAAUGAGAACGAGACGAGCGUCCAUGACGGAUGCCAGACACUGCCAGAAAUGUGCGAAUACUCGUAGAUAGCAAUUCAAACGGGUUUGAAUUUCAGAUUUUAGAAUGGAAUGGGAAUGUUUUUGGCCGCGUUAUCUUAAUUAGGCCAUAAUGAACUGAAUAAAUAAUCAUAAUCUCGCUUUCUUUAGAUUCCAGUUAUCCAAGGUUAUGCUUGAUUUCCAUUCGAUUUCGUA